UGAUUCAUCCGAGGUCCAUGUUUUUAAAGAUGUGAUUUCACUGGUCUGAGAGAUGAUUCAUCCGAGGUCCAUGUUUUUAAAGAUGUGAUUUCACUGGUCUGAGAGAUGAUUCAUCCGAGGUCCAUGUUUUUAAAGAUGUGAUUUCACUGGUCUGAGAGAUGAUUCAUCCGAGGUCCAUGUUUUUAAAGAUGUGAUUUCACUGGUCUGAGAGAUGAUUCAUCCGAGGUCCAUGUUUUUAAAGAUGUGAUUUCACUGGUCUGAGAGAUGAUUCAUCCGAGGUCCAUGUUUUUAAAGAUGUGAUUUCACUGGUCUGAGAGAUGAUUCAUCUGAGGUCCAUGUUUUUAAAGUCUUACAUUUCCUCUAGCUCUACUGGAAUCUGAGUUUGAGUCUUACACACACGAGAGGUGUGUGUGUGUGUGUGUGUGUGUGUGUGUGUGUGUGUGUGUGUGUGUGUGUGUGUGUGUGUGUGUGUGUGUGUGUGUGUGUGUGUGAGAGAAUACCCCCGUCAAUGUUAUCAAUAUUGCCUAACUGAAAGGUGAUCUAGAAGUUGUUUUACUUCCUUGCUUGUGUGUUUCUACAGAUACAAGUAUGAUGAUCCGUAAUUUAUAAAGAACCAAGAUCAUGUUGUGUACUGCCAAUUACGAGUCACUUUGGAUAGUAGGGGAAAUGAAUGUCCUUAAUAAUAAUACUGCUUAGUAAUGUGAGGUUGGUUCUAACUUGUAUCUACGGCUUUCCGUCUGUUUUUAUUUAGUCUGUAGCAGCACACAGCAAGGAUGAUUUCAUUGUGCCGUUGUAUUUAGUAGACCGUCAGAUGUAGAGACCUAAAAGACGCAUGAAACUGCUGCCUUAGAGAAAUCAGCUUUUAUAGGAAUAAAUGUUUUUCAAACAA